rnacentral:lncRNA from 1 species
GGGCAGCGCCAGGCUCCCCCCACCCCCACCCCGCCGGGUCCCCAGCCCACUCCGGUGUGCAAAGUUUCCGCGCCCGAGCGGAGUUGGCGCGGCGUCCUCCGCCCUGGGGCUCCUGCCCCGGCGCACGGCCAGCCGGCCCGACCCGGCUCUUCCGGGCGGCGGAGGGGAGGGCGGGGCGGGAAGCAGCAGCCCUUACCUGGGACGGCCACCUCCAGCCCCAAGCGGGGCGCGGGCGCGGGCGCGGGGAGAGGGGCUCGGCGGAGGGCGCGGAGCCAGGCGCGGCCCGGGCCCGGGGUGGCGGGGCCCGCGCGGGGGUCGGGGCGCAGGGCCUGCCUCUCCCGGGAACCUGGGCCGGGCUGGCCGCGCUCGGUCGCUCCUGCUGGCGCUGGCCUCUCCCUCCGCGCUCUCGGCUCCCUGCUCCGGGCGAGAGUGGGCCGGCGCCUGCAUCACCGUGACAUCACCUCCAUUCAGGCGCUUAUCGGGCGGCCGCCGCGCUCCAGGUAUGUGCAAUCCGUUUGCACAGUAACAAAGCGCGCGCGGCCCUCCCCCCGCCGCCGACUCACCUCCAGGCUCCGGCGAGGCGCACUUUCCGGCCGGGGAGGGAGCUCGGAGUUUCUGGCGGAGCUGGCCCGAGUGUUGUUGCUGUUUACCGCCACGCCCCCGCACACGGACGCGCGCACUCACGCGCACUCACGCGCACUCACUUUCAGGAUUCGCCUUUCCCUCCGGAAAGCGGUUUGGGGUGCAGCCCAGCGCGCUCCCUCGCCCCGCAUGUCCCAGCGCUCACACGCGGACACGCGUGGGGCCCCCCGCGGUGCGUCUCAGCUAGCCUCGGUCACCUCCGCCCCGGCUCCCCCGUGGGGCACACACGCCGGGCACAGGUCGCUGCUCCCGGCUGAAGCGAGGCGCACACUCAGCAGAGUGCGUCUUUGUCACGCCUUCUGCGCCCCCUCCCCUCCCCGAGCGUGCACACGUGGACACACCACACACCGACAGUCCGCCUCCUCCACGAGCGGCCUUGCCCCCGGCACCUGGGUCACCAAACGUGCAUGGGGCGGGGGGGGGGGGGCGCUGCGAGCGCGCCUGCCGCGGUGGGCCCGGCCGGGAUCCACUCCGGAUCGUGAGCAGACGGCGCCCCGGGCCCGACUUGCCUGCGCCUGGAUUUCCCGCGACCGCCCCAGCACCGUCCAACUGAGCGCGCUCCCCUCCCGGCGCCCCCGUUCCCUGCUCCGACUUGUCCUAAUUAGCCGUCACGGUCAUGUUCCCCGCGGUCCCCUGCGCUCCGGGACGCCUCGGCCCUGA